rnacentral:rRNA from 1 species
UGGGGAAUUUUGGACAAUGGGCGCAAGCCUGACCCAGCAACGCCGCGUGAAGGAUGAAGUAUUUCGGUAUGUAAACUUCGAAAGAAUAGGAAGAAUAAAUGACGGUACUAUUUAUAAGGUCCGGCUAACUACGUGCCAGCAGCCGCGGUAAUACGUAGGGACCAAGCGUUGUUCGGAUUUACUGGGCGUAAAGGGCGCGUAGGCGGCAUGACAAGUCACUUGUGAAAUCUCUGGGCUUAACCCAGAACGGCCAAGUGAUACUGUCGCGCUAGAGUGCAGAAGGGGCAAUCGGAAUUCUUGGUGUAGCGGUGAAAUGCGUAGAUAUCAAGAGGAACACCUGAGGUGAAGACGGGUUGCUGGGCUGACACUGACGCUGAGGCGCGAAAGCCAGGGGAGCAAACGGGAUUAGAUACCCCUGUAGUCCCUGAGCGGGCUGGCAAGGCGCAU